GGGCAUCACGGAAAAGCUUGCUUUUCUGGUGGCGACCGGCGCACGGGUGCGGAACGCGUAUGGAACCUGCCCCUGUCAGGGGAAUAGCCCAGGGAAACUUGGAUUAAUGCCCCAUGGUACCGCGAUAUCGCAUGAUAUUGCGGUUAAAGAUUUAUCGGACAGGGAUGGCCAUGCGUACCAUUAGUUAGUUGGUGGGGUAACGGCCCACCAAGGCAGCGAUGGUUAGGGGCCCUGAGAGGGGGAUCCCCCACACUGGUACUGAGACACGGACCAGACUCCUACGGGAGGCAGCAGUGAGGAAUAUUGGACAAUGGGCGGGAGCCUGAUCCAGCCAUGCCGCGUGCAGGAUGACGGCCCUAUGGGUUGUAAACUGCUUUUAUACGGGAAGAAAUGCGCCCACGUGUGGGCGUCUGACGGUACCGUAAGAAUAAGGACCGGCUAACUCCGUGCCAGCAGCCGCGGUAAUACGGAGGGUCCGAGCGUUAUCCGGAAUCAUUGGGUUUAAAGGGUCCGUAGGCGGGCCUGUAAGUCAGGGGUGAAAGUUUGUGGCUCAACCAUAAAAUUGCCUUUGAUACUGCAGGUCUUGAGUCAUGGUGGGGUCGCCGGAACAUGUGGUGUAGCGGUGAAAUGCAUAGAUAUCACAUAGAACACCGAUCGCGAAGGCAGGUGGCCAACCAUGUACUGACGCUGAUGGACGAAAGCGUGGGUAGCGAACGGGAUUAGAUACCCCGGUAGUCCACGCCGUAAACGAUGGAUACUAGCUGUGGGGACUUCGGUCUCCGUGGCCAAGCGAAAGUGAU
rnacentral:rRNA from 1 species